GACGAACGCUGGCGGCGUGCUUAACACAUGCAAGUCGAACGGAAAGGCCCUGCUUUUGUGGGGUGCUCGAGUGGCGAACGGGUGAGUAACACGUGAGUAACCUGCCCUUGACUUUGGGAUAACUUCAGGAAAAUGGGGCUAUUACCGCAUAGGAGCUCCUGCUGCAUGGUGUGGGUUGGAAAGUUUCGGUGGUUGGGGAUGGACUAGCGGCUUAUCCGCUUGUUGGGCUGGUAGUGGCUUACCAAGGCUGUGACGGGUAGGCGGCCUGAGAGCGUGACCGGCCACAAUGGGACUGAGAUACGGCCCAGACUCGUACGGGAGGCAGCAGGGGGGAAUAUUGCGCAAUGGGCGGAAGCCUGAUGCAGCAACGCCGCGUGCGGGAUGACGGCCUUCGGGUGGUAAACCGAUUUCGAAUGUGACGAAGCGUGAGUGACGGUAAUGGGUAAAGAAGCACCGGCUAACUACGUG
rnacentral:rRNA from 1 species